rnacentral:lncRNA from 1 species
AAGCUUUGAUUUCAAAUAAACUGUAAAAUUGAUAGAAAAUGUGUUCCAAAACCUGAAACAAGAAAAAUAGUAUCAUUCUUGCAUUACAGAGUUCAUUCUCCUAUCUACUGACAAUGAGCUACUUGAUGAUGGCACCAGUACCUGUUUCUUCCAAAAUGCUCCCACUGUGGCCAGGCUCGGGCUACCUACCGCAGCCCCCGAGGCGGAGAGGCAGGCAGUCGCCUGCACAAACGCCACUGGAGCCACCUGCAGCACAUCGCUGGCUGUGCCAGGUGAUGCCAUUAACUUCCAGCUCCCUCUUCAUGAGCCUGGAACUGCAUCCUACGACCACUUCUCCUGCACCAGUUGACCCUGUGAGGCAUUCUGCUAGGAGGCCACAGGAGAGAUACUGGAAGACCAGGGCAGGCCCAGAUCUUUGUCCGUGGCUCUGCUGCCCUCUCCUCCAGCAAAGCAGCCAAUGGAUUAUGAAGGAAAAGAUAAACAGCCAUGAUAGAAAGUUUCCCAGCCAGUUGUGAAUACCUCAAAGACGAAAGCAGAUUUCACUCUGAACUUGGAGGCAGACUCACAUUUAUCCUCCCACACCGGGAUCCAAUGUCAGCCAUCCUCAUCCUAUCGCCCACUGUUCUAUGACUUAGAUGCGACGCCAACGGCUCAAAAUAUUUACAGCAUGAUCCUGCUUUAUAAAGACCAUGGCAGUAGCAGCGGUGCUUAUGAAAUGUGUCAUCCACGUCACCACAUUUCCUGACCUCCCUGUGCUUAAUCAGAGACGUGAGACAUCCUUAUGGCUACCUUACCUAUGUCCUUCUGUGGACAAAGGGAUGUGUAUUAUUUUUGGGAUGAAGCACUGAAGAGCAGUGUCUUUUUUACUUCUGUGAGAUCAGGAAUGUAGCUCCAAACAGUGUGUGUGUAUGUGUGUGUGUGUGUGUGUGUGUGUUGGGGGGGGUGGUUCUCAGCUUUAAUACUAUGGACAUUUUGAACCAGGUAAUUGUGAGUGUGGGGGACAGAGGUCUAUCCUGUGCUUUUCAGGAUGUUCAGCAGUAUCCCUGGCCUAUAGUCAUUAGCUGGAGCACCAUUCUCUCCAGUUAUGACAAUAAAAUGUACAGUCUGACACUGUCCA